rnacentral:rRNA from 1 species
GGGGAAUAUUGGACAAUGGGGGAAACCCUGAUCCAGCAAUGCCGCGUGAGUGAAGAAGGCCUUCGGGUUGUAAAGCUCUUUUACCUAUGAAGAUAAUGACGGUAGUAGGGGAAUAAGCCCUGGCUAACUCUGUGCCAGCAGCCGCGGUAAUACAGAGAGGGCAAGCGUUGUCCGGAAUGACUGGGCGUAAAGAGCGCGUAGGCGGUUUUUUAAGUUGGAUGUGAAAUCCCUGGGCUUAACCUAGGAACUGCAUCCGAUACUGGAGAACUAGAGGAUGAGAGAGGAAAGUGGAAUGACGAGUGUAGAGGUGAAAUUCGUAGAUAUUCGUCGGAACACCAGAGGCGAAGGCGGCUUUCUGGCUCAUACCUGACGCUGAGGCGCGAAAGCGUGGGGAGCAAAC